GACGAGGAACCCCAAAGAUGUGUUCACAUCGUCUUUUCAUCAUCAUGAGGCGGCUUCCUUCCUGGUGGACCCAGGCCCACAGACCCAGUUCCUCCACAACUUCCUUGAUGGAAAAGGUGCCUUUACUUCCUUGGUUCUUGUUUCCCGCCAUCGUCAGCGUCUGCCCCGCCCCUGAUUGUUUCCACCUGUUCCCACUUACCUCUUGUAUAUAUUGUCCUGUCUCCCCUUGUCUGUUGUCAGUUCGUCUUGUUCGUCAUUCCAAGAAGUCAGAUCCAAGCAGCCAUAGAGAGACCAAGUACCUUUUUUGAUAUCCUCCAUGAGAGCGUUUUGUUUUGUGACCGUUAUGUCACUCACUCUGUAAAGAGUGUUUUCUUUGUUUUUUGAUCCAUUAAAGUUUAUUUUUCUUCAAA